GUAUGUGUGUGUUUUUCUCUUCCACCACACUGAAGUUCCAUGAAUAGGGAAAGUGGCUCCUAUUGUGUGACUCUGAACUUCCAAGUCAAUGCAAUUUUUAACCACUGGCUUGUGGUACUUUGAAAAUCACCAGGAGCUGUCAGAGUUGGGUCCUCUGAAAAAUUUACAGUGCUAAAUCAGAGCAUAUGCUGUGAGAGAGGGAAAAAAAUUGCUUAAGAUUGGAGCAAGUACAGUAUCUGUCUGCCCCCUAGUGUAAGUCUCUUAUCUGCCUAAAAUUCAACUUUAAAAGAAAAGGAUCUCUUAAAGGGAAACGACUUUUGGCUCACGUAUGCAUACGAGAAUGAAACUUCUGUGCAUUUUAAUCUGAUUAAUUCCUAAGGAUUUAAAAUUAAUUGGCUUGGACACUCCUAGGCGGACAGUUAGAUUUCUGCAUCAGGGUUUCUCCAAGCCCUGUGUUGAAUAGGUAUUUUUAAGCGGAGGGGGGGGGGGACGGGGACGGGACUGGUUUGUGAUUUUUUUUUUAAAUGAGAAGCCAUGCCUCUCAUGCUUUUGUCAGAAUAGAGCAGUUUUGCUGCUUAAAGUCAGAUCUGCACCUUUUGCAAUAAAGAAGGAUAAAUCUUUGCCUUAAAGCUGCAGACCAGCUGCCAACCGCACCUUCCGAUGGACGUGAUAACUGAUGGUGCUGUAAUUGCAGACACUGGGUCUCUUCCCUCUCCUCCCCCCACCCCUUCCCGAGCAACCCACGUAACCUUAGAAACGAUAGUUUAAUACUAUGAAGAUAGAAAUAUGUUAACUAUUGAGGUAGGUGGCAACAUUUUUGAUCAAGAGACUUCUGAUUGUGCAAUGAGGUCAGCUUGAGUGGACCCAGGCACUCAAAUGGAGUCCCAGAGGCUGGACAGAUUUGAUGAUGAAUUUUAGCAGACAGAAUCCCUGCCCUCUGCAGCUGUGAAGCCCUUGGAAAUAAUCCACACAAAAGAAUUUCGGAAAUGAAAGCUGUCUGUGCCAUCUUCUGUUUAAUUAACACAGCCAAUAAGGUGCAAGUUCUUGUUGCCCAAUCCCCACCUUCAUCCAAGGAACAGGUCUGAGUAAUCUAUUGAAAGGAGAAAAUUAAAGAUUAGAAACUGUCAUUCCAGUCUAGAUUGUGAGACCCUCACUCACGUCAGUCUCAUACCUUUGCUGGCCCAUCAAAAUCAAGAAGCAAGAAAUGGCAUAACUAACGUGUACUAUAGAAAUCAAUGGAACUGCUUGGGAGCACAGUUCUACUCAAUCUAAUACACAGAGGGCUUCCCAGAUAAUGACAAAGUUGUAUGUAGGUAGAGAUAGCAACAAAACUAGAUCUAUGCAUCAAGACUCAAAGCCUUUCUAACUUCUGGAUGGUUUGAUGCAUUCACUGAAGUCUGGCCAACAUGACUUGAGGGUAUUUGCAUUGAUGAGAAGCUUCCAAACUUUCUGCCUCCCUUUCUUCCUCUCUCUAUCCUCAACAAGUCCUGGAACUACCUCUGAAGACAUUUAAGAAGGAAAGCUGCUGCAUUCUGCAUGAGUGAGUUUAGUAACUUCCAUCUUCAACUCUGGAUACUGAGAACUGCUAAGGCCCAGCCUAGAAAUGAUGAACACACAGAUCAUUGUGGCCAGAUCCUCAUCUAAGAAGACUGGAGUCCAGGUUUGCUGUCGUGGAGACCAGAGAAGAAGUAACCAAAGAAAGGAAAAGAAACACUGGAGAAUAAAAGUACAUUUGAAAUGGAAGAAAUCUACAUUUCAAUGAAAAUACUUUUAAGCCAUUUCAGAUGACUGAGUGAAAUAAUUACAAAGUUUGGAAAUAGAGAACAGUAGCUUUGAUAUCUUUUUCUUCUGUGAAGCAAUUAAAAUAAGCAAUUUUUCAAAUACUAAGCAGAAAAUUGCUAAUGGUUGAACCCAAAAGCUUUCAUUUCAUUCUUGGGGUCUUUUUUCUUCUAAAAAAAGACCAAAAAAUAUUAAGGUGGUUUUCUAGAUAGAUUAAUGCAUAAAGCAGUUGUUAGUUGGAUGUCAUAAAAACUACAGCAGCACAGAAUAGCUGAGAUUAAGAGCCAGAUUUAAAUCAUGCAACAGUCCAGUUAAUAUCAAUGUAUAAUUAAGAAAAGCAUAAGAAGUCUGUAAUGGUGAUUUGAUGGAAAAAACCUCUAAUAGGGUUUCUUUUGGAAUUUUCCAUUUCAAUCACUCUUGUAGAUAUUUAAUGGAUUUUCUACCCUGUCUUUGGCAUUCGCGGGAAUUAUCUAAAAGUUAAAAUCAAGCCCUAAAAUGGAACACAGGUAGACAAAUAAGCCCAUCUGGAGAGCAGUCUUUAUAGAAUGCCAAUGUGAUCUCACGCUGAAAAUUUAGUACAAAUGUCUUAAAUCUGGUGUGAAAACCCUAUUUGCCAUAUAAUCUUAAGCAAUGUAAUACUAACCCAUUUCCUCACCUUUCUAAUCCUGCUGAAAUUCCCAGCAAUUCAGAAAUACUAAACUAUGGGCUUUUGGCAGGGGCAUCCUCACCAAUGAAUCACAUUUCUCCCCACUUUAGGCAACCAGUGGGCCCAAGCCAUGCUGAAAAAUCUGAUCUUUUCUCCUAGGCUGUGUGUGAACAGGUAGGUGUGGUGGGUAAAGAUCCUUUUAAAUGGUUGCUCAAGACAGAGCAUUGGUGAUGCUCAGCACAGCUUUCAAUGUAGUUAUGCAAUUCUUUGAAACAAAGUCAGUUAACUGAGUCUUUUCUAGCAACUGUUCCUAACAGAGGUAAGGUACACUGAUAAAACGUGCAAAAGGGGCUUCCAAACUUGUCCGACACACAUGGCAGAUAGACCCCAAAUGGGUGAGGAAACUUUCUCCACUCCUAUAUAAAAGCCAUUCAUCUUUGGAGCUCACUAUAAUUGUGUUCCAGCCCUCUCACAUGGAACCCAAAUGAGAAGAUUGAAAUACACCAAUACAUCAGUCACCUAAGUCUAACAUAUACAUAGAAAAGAUAGUAUUUCCUUUACUAAAGUCCAUUGCAAUUGAAAUUGCUUGAAGAGGAGUAGGUGGACCAGGGGAUAGAUAAUGGGAUACAGAUUUUCUCAUUUCUAGGUCUCUAAUCAAGUGCAGCUAGACAGUGAUGCAAAAAGUAAUUAUCUAUCUGAUGAAAGGGAGAGGUAACACUGUUGGACAUAUGGGUAUAUGCCCUUGGAUGUGAAAUCUGAGAGUUGAAUGGAAAUAUCUGUCAAGAGACCUGCAAGGCCUAGUUUGGGUAUAAGAGGGAAGAAAAAGCAUUUUAACAUUAGGUAAAUUUAGUGCCAUGAAAGAUCCUAGGGACAAUGGGAGUGAAGUCCUCUAUCUUAUGAUAAACUAUUCAGAUCUGUCCUAUCUGACUGCCUCCUGCUGUCUUCCUCCCAUUAUCCCUCCCCUUUGUUCCCUCCCCACCUCUUCCCUUUAUCUAUAUUGUCCUUGCCUCUUCUACUCCCGUGCCUCCAAUUCCUUUUAGUAUCAUAUACCCUCCCACACUCAAGUAUAGACAAUAUUUUUUGCAACACACGUCUCCAUUUCCACCUUUGUAUACACGUAUAUGCAGUAGACUGCAAAAGGCAGUGAAGAAUCAGACCCAAUAUACAUCUAUGCAUCUGUCUCUUGAUACAUAUAUACAGAUCUUGAAGAUUCCACUACAUGGAAUAUAUAGUGGAACCUUCAAGAUGAAUGUAACAACAACUAAGCAUCCAUGCUCACCAUAUGCCCAGCUCAUCAUUUGUUUUUGCCUCUCAUUGCACCGUUUGUCUAUAUUUCAGACUCCUCAGGGCAAGGACCAUCUCUGACAAUGUGUUGGUAUAGCACUUAGCCCAAUGGGGUCCUGGUCCAUGAAAUGGGACUCCGAUCGUGACUGGGGGUUUUGGGUGCCCUCAUAAUAGAAAUAAAUAAUAUGAUUGGUAAAGGGGAUCUCUCCAUUUUCUUUGGCGGGAGAGCCUAUAGACUGGUGUUUGUGUAACUGGAAAUUUGAAUAAAAAUAUCAAUACACAUUUUUAAAAGCACAUGUUGAAAUUUCGGGAGGCACCUGCUAAAUUGAAAACCAAAAUAAAUAAAAACCGAAUAUCUACAGAAUAAGCUCAGCAAUAUAAUCUUCCAGCUUCACCCCACCAAUGCUCCUCUAUAUUGUUCUGGAGAAACCAACUUAAGGGAUGAAGGUAAAAUUCCAUUUCCACGUCCAGGGAGAAAUUAUCCCCAUCAUCAACACUGGCACCCUAGCUGGUUCUCUUGGCGGAGAUGUUAGGUUCACCUACAUCAUUUUACCUUUUAGAAAAAGGAUAGAAUAGCCCUACCAGUU